GAUUAACGCUGGCGGCGUGCAUGAGACAUGCAAGUCGAACGGACGAUCGGGCUUGCUCGAUCGUUAGUGGCGGACGGCUGAGUAACGCGUGGGUGACCUGCCCCGAAGUGGGGAAUAACUGCCCGAAAGGGUGGCUAAUACCGCAUGUGGUGACUGGUUCGUUCCAGUCUCCAAAGCCGCAAGGCGCUUCGGGAGGGGCCUGCGUCCGAUUAGCUCGUUGGUGGGGUAACGGCUCACCAAGGCGACGAUCGGUAGGUGGUCUGAGAGGACGAUCACCCAGACUGGGACUGAGACACGGCCCAGACUCCUACGGGAGGCAG
rnacentral:rRNA from 1 species